rnacentral:rRNA from 1 species
UGAACGCUGGCGGCGUGCCUAAUACAUGCAAGUCGAGCGAACAGACGAGGAGCUUGCUCCUCUGACGUUAGCGGCGGACGGGUGAGUAACACGUGGAUAACCUACCUAUAAGACUGGGAUAACUUCGGGAAACCGGAGCUAAUACCGGAUAAUAUAUUGAACCGCAUGGUUCAAUAGUGAAAGACGGUUUUGCUGUCACUUAUAGAUGGAUCCGCGCCGCAUUAGCUAGUUGGUAAGGUAACGGCUUACCAAGGCAACGAUGCGUAGCCGACCUGAGAGGGUGAUCGGCCACACUGGAACUGAGACACGGUCCAGACUCCUACGGGAGGCAGCAGUAGGGAAUCUUCCGCAAUGGGCGAAAGCCUGACGGAGCAGCGCCGCGUGAGUGAUGAAGGUCUUCGGAUCGUAAAACUCUGUUAUUAGGGAAGAACAAAUGUGUAAGUAACUAUGCACGUCUUGACGGUACCUAAUCAGAAAGCCACGGCUAACUACGUG